rnacentral:rRNA from 1 species
AGAGUUUGAUCCUGGCUCAGGACGAACGCUGGCGGCGUGCUUAACACAUGCAAGUCGAGCGGUAAGGCCCUUUCGGGGGUACACGAGCGGCGAACGGGUGAGUAACACGUGGGUGACCUGCCCUCAGCUCUGGGAUAAGCCUGGGAAACCGGGUCUAAUACCGGAUAUGACUCCAUGACGCAUGUUGUGGGGUGGAAAGCCUUGUGCGGCUGGGGAUGGGCCCGCGGCCUAUCAGCUUGUUGGUGGGGUGAUGGCCUACCAAGGCGACGACGGGUAGCCGGCCUGAGAGGGCGACCGGCCACACUGGGACUGAGACACGGCCCAGACUCCUACGGGAGGCAGCAGUGGGGAAUCUUGCGCAAUGGGCGAAAGCCUGACGCAGCGACGCCGCGUGAGGGAUGACGGCCUUCGGGUUGUAAACCUCUUUCAGCUCCGACGAAGCGAAAGUGACGGUAGGAGCAGAAGAAGCACCGGCCAACUACGUGCCAGCAGCCGCGGUAAUACGUAGGGUGCAAGCGUUGUCCGGAAUUAUUGGGCGUAAAGAGCUCGUAGGCGGUCUGUCGCGUCGGCUGUGAAAACUUGGGGCUCAACUCCGAGCUUGCAGUCGAUACGGGCAGGCUAGAGUUCGGCAGGGGAGACUGGAAUUCCUGGUGUAGCGGUGAAAUGCGCAGAUAUCAGGAGGAACACCGGUGGCGAAGGCGGGUCUCUGGGCCGAUACUGACGCUGAGGAGCGAAAGCGUGGGGAGCGAACAGGAUUAGAUACCCUAGUAGUCC